AACGAACGCUGGCGGCAUGCCUAACACAUGCAAGUCGAACGAGGCCUUCGGGUACUGUUGCGCACGGGUUCGUAAGGGGAGGGAACCUGCCCUCAGGUUGGGAAUAACUUUCAGCAAGGGGUGACAAUACCGGAUAAAGUCUUCGGACCCAUGAUUGCUUGCAAUGGGAGGGGCCCGUGUUGGAUUUGCUAGUUGGUAGCGUAAAAGUCUACCCAGGCGACGAUCCAUAGCUGGUCUGGGAGGAUGAUCCGCCACCCUGGGACUGGGACACGGCCCAGACUCUUACGGGAGGCAGCAGUGGGGAAUAUUGAACAAUGGGCGAAAGCCUGAUCCAUCAAUGCCGCGUGAGUGAUUAAGGCCUUAGGGUUGUAAAGCUCUGUUACCCGGGAUGAUAAUGACGGUACCGGGAGAAUAAGCGCCGGCUAACUCCGUG
rnacentral:rRNA from 1 species